UACGAAGGGGGCUAGCGUUGCUCGGAAUCACUGGGCGUAAAGCGCACGUAGGCGGCUUUCUAAGUCAGGGGUGAAAUCCUGGAGCUCAACUCCAGAACUGCCUUUGAUACUGGAGGGCUUGAGUCCGGAAGAGGUGAGUGGAACUGCGAGUGUAGAGGUGAAAUUCGUAGAUAUUCGCAAGAACACCAGUGGCGAAGGCGGCUCACUGGCCCGGUACUGACGCUGAGGUGCGAAAGCGUGGGAGCAACAGG
rnacentral:rRNA from 1 species